rnacentral:rRNA from 1 species
UACGUAGGGUGCAAGCGUUGUCCGGAAUUAUUGGGCGUAAAGAGCUCGUAGGCGGUUUGUUACGUCGGCUGUGAAAACCUGGGGCUCAACUCCGGGCCUGCAGCCGAUACGGGCAGACUAGAGUUCGGCAGGGGAGACUGGAAUUCCUGGUGUAGCGGUGAAAUGCGCAGAUAUCAGGAGGAACACCGGUGGCGAAGGCGGGUCUCUGGGCCGAUACUGACGCUGAGGAGCGAAAGCGUGGGGAGCAAACAGG